UCGAAGGACCGUUCAGAGGCGUUCAAUUGGUCAUUAAUGCUUUCGCAUUCACAACUCAUAAGAAGGGCUUAGGUGUCCUUGGAUUUUUAUUGAAUGUGUUAGGUCC
rnacentral:lncRNA from 1 species